GACGAACGUUGGCGGCGUGCUUAACACAUGCAAGUGGAGCGACGAACCAGGGCUUGCCCCGGGGCAGAGCCGCGAACGGGUGAGUAACACGUGGGUAACGUGCCCCAAUGAUCGGGACAACCCGGGGAAACCCGGGCUAAUACCGAAUGUGCUCCCCUCACACCAGUGAGGGGUGGAAAGGAAGCUUCGGCCUCCGCAUUGGGAUCGGCCCGCGGCCCAUUCGCUUGUUGGUGAGGUAAUGGCUCACCAAGGCUGCGGUGGGUAGCUGGUCUGAGAGGACGAUCAGCCACACUGGGACUGAGACCCGCCCCAGACUCCUACGGGAGGCAGCAGUGGGGAAUCUUGCGCAAUGCGCGAAAGCGUGACGCAGCAACGCCGCGUGGGGGAAGAAGGCCUUCGGGUUGUAAACCCCUUUCAGGAGGGACGAAGCUCCGGCCGUUAAUAGCGGACCGGGGUAACGGUACCUCCAGAAGAAGCCCCGGCUAACUACGUGCCAGCAGCCGCCGUAA
rnacentral:rRNA from 1 species